UUUGUAUCUCACGGUGUUAUCUUCAGCAUAGCAUAGCCACAAGUGGCCUGGAUUUGAGUAUGGAGAGUUUCCAACUGUCCUCGUUCCGUCUAUCGUGAAGUAACACCAAGCCAUGAGGAGAGCAACGUUGCCCCCCUAAGCUAUACGUGAUGAGAACCAGCCCGGCCUCUACCUGCUUAGAUGAUAAAACGAGUAUCAAUGGGUAGGCAGAGACGGAGUGGGCUGGCUUGUUUAAUAUAUCGCGUCGAAUACAGAGCUUAUUCACCAUUUGCACCCCGAAGGAAGAAAUGGUUGAAUUUCAAGGCAUUGAAUCUCGCCUUGUGCUCCACCCUGCGUCGCGAAGG
rnacentral:snoRNA from 1 species